CCUACCGGAGGCAGCAGUAAGGAAUCUUGCGCAAUGGAGGAAACUCUGACGCAGCCACGCCGCGUGAAGGAAGACACCCCUAUGGNGCGUAAACUUCUUUUAUAUGGGAAGAACCCCCUGCUCUGUAGGGUCUGACGGUUCNUUUUUNAUAAGCACCGGCUAACUCCGUGCCAGCAGCCGCGGUAAUACNGAGGGUGCAAGCGUUGUCCGGAAUCACUGGGUGUAAAGGGUGUGUAGGCGGNGCAGUAAGUCAGAGGUGAAAGCCCACGGCUCAACCNNGGAAUUGCCUUUGAUACUGCUGUUCUUGAGUCCUGGAGAGGUCGCCGGGAUUCGUGGUGUAGCGGUGAAAUGCGUAGAUAUCACGAGGAACACCGGAGGUGUAGACGGGUGACUGGACAGGUACUGACGCUGAGGCACGAAAGCGUGGGGAGCAAACAGGAUUAGAUACCCUGGUAGUCCACGCCGUAAACGAUGGAUGCUCGGUGUUGCCCCGUUUCAGGGGCAGUGCCCAAGCUAACGCAUUAAGCAUCCCACCUGGGGGAGUACGCUCGCAAGAGUGAAAACUCAAAUGAAUUGACGG
rnacentral:rRNA from 1 species